UACAGAGGUCUCGAGCGUUAGGCGGAAUCACUGGGCUUAAAGCGUGUGUGGGCGGAUCGUUAAGUACCUUGUGAAAUCCCACGGCUUAACCGUGGAAUUGCUGGGUAUACUGGCGGUCUUGAGCCACUUAGGGGCUACCGGAACAAAUGGUGGAGCGGUGAAAUGCGUAGAUAUCAUUUGGAACGCCAAUGGUGAAAACAGGUAGCUGGGAGUGUGCUGACGCUGAGACACGAAAGCCAGGGGAGCAAACGGG
rnacentral:rRNA from 1 species